rnacentral:rRNA from 1 species
UAGGGAAUCUUCCGCAAUGGGCGAAAGCCUGACGGAGCAAUGCCGCGUGAGUGAAGAAGGCCUUCGGGUCGUAAAACUCUGUUAUAAGAGAAGAACAAAUUGUAGAGUAACUGCUACAGUCUUGACGGUAUCUUAUCAGAAAGCCACGGCUAACUACGUGCCAGCAGCCGCGGUAAUACGUAGUUGGCAAGCGUUGUCCGGAUUUAUUGGGCGUAAAGGGAGCGCAGGUGGUUUCUUAAGUCUGAUGUGAAAGCCCACGGCUUAACCGUGGAGGGUCAUUGGAAACUGGGAAACUUGAGUACAGAAGAGGAAUGUGGAACUCCAUGUGUAGCGGUGGAAUGCGUAGAUAUAUGGAAGAACACCAGUGGCGAAGGCGACAUUCUGGUCUGUUACUGACACUGAGGCUCGAAAGCGUGGGGAGCAAACAGG